UCGCCCUUGGACCGUCCUUGCUUUACGCCCCACUUCGACCCACUUCUCUAACUUUAUGUAGCCAUGCCUGCCCCCGAAACACAUGCUCCCAUACACGACUCGGUGCCUGAGGUCUGCGCCAUUGCUUUGACACCGGAUAGAGGUACGAUGCCUAGGACUCCGCCAUUGCUUCGACAUCGCCCGGAGAUGUGAUGCCUAGGACUUCGCCAUUGCUUUGACACCGGAUAGAGGUACGAUGCCUAGGACUCCGCCAUUGCUUCGACACCACGAGGAGACAAGACACAGGGCGGUACUUUGACGCUGACCCUGGAGUUGUGCAUCAUCGAGUG
rnacentral:lncRNA from 1 species